GAGUUUGAUCAUGGCUCAGAAUCAACGCUGGCGGCGUGCCUAACACAUGCAAGUCGCACGAGAAAGGGGCUUCGGCCCUGAGUACAGUGGCGUACGGGUGAGUAACACGUGAAUCAUCUACCUCCGAGUGGGGAAUAACCUAGAGAAAUCUGGGCUAAUACCGCAUAACACUUACGAGUCAAAGCAGCAAUGCGCUUGGAGAGGAGUUCGCGGCCGAUUAGUUAGUUGGCGGGGUAAUGGCCCACCAAGACGAUGAUCGGUAUCCGGCCUGAGAGGGCGCACGGACACACUGGAACUGAAACACGGUCCAGACUCCUACGGGAGGCAGCAGUGGGGAAUUUUGCGCAAUGGGGGAAACCCUGACGCAGCAACGCCGCGUGGAGGAUGAAAUCCCUUGGGAUGUAAACUCCUUCCGAUAGAGAAGAUAAUGACGGUACCUAUAAAAGAAGCCCCGGCUAACUUCGUGCCAGCAGCCGCGGUAAUACG
rnacentral:rRNA from 1 species